rnacentral:rRNA from 1 species
CCUACGGGAGGCAGCAGUGAGGAAUAUUGGACAAUGGGCGGGAGCCUGAUCCAGCCAUGCCGCGUGCAGGAAGACUGCCCUAUGGGUUGUAAACUGCUUUUGUACAGGAAGAAACACUCCCUCGUGAGGGAGCUUGACGGUACUGUAAGAAUAAGGAUCGGCUAACUCCGUGCCAGCAGCCGCGGUA